UUGAUUUGCUGCGGGCAAAUAAAAUGUAUGUGCGAAUCGAAUCCGCCAGCAGUCACAAUGUGACCCUCGGCAGCGAUCACUUCCGUACCCGCGCCAAUUACCAUACCUUCAGUCACACCGGACUGAAUGAGAGGAUUGCCCGCAUGACCAAUCCCCGCGAUACGACCACCUUUCACUCCGAUAUCUGCCUUAAUGAUCCCAAGGAUCGGAUCGAUGAUUGUCGCAUUGGUUAAAACUAGGUCGAGGCACUUUGAAUCCAAGGCAAGAGGCGAUUGACCCAUCCCAUCUCG
rnacentral:sRNA from 1 species